rnacentral:rRNA from 1 species
CCUACGGGAGGCUGCAGUGGGGAAUAUUGCACAAUGGGGGGAACCCUGAUGCAGCGAUGCCGCGUGAGUGAAGAAGUACUUCGGUUUGUAAAGCUCUAUCAGCAGGGAAGAAAAUGACGGUACCUGACUAAGAAGCCCCUGCUAACUACGUGCCAGCAGCCGCGGUAAUACGUAGGGGGCAAGCGUUAUCCGGAUUUACUGGGUGUAAAGGGAGCGUAGACGGCAGAGCAAGUCGGAAGUGAAAGCCCGCGGCCCAACAGCGGGACUGCUUUGGAAACUGCCCGGCUAGAGUGCUGGAGAGGGAGGCGGAAUUCCUGGUGUAGCGGUGAAAUGCGUAGAGAUUAGGAGGAACACCAGUGGCGAAGGCGGCUUACUGGACAGUAACUGACGUUGAGGCGCGAAAGCGUGGGGAGCAAACAGGAUUAGAUACCCGAGUAGUC